rnacentral:rRNA from 1 species
UACGUAGGUGGCAAGCGUUACUCGGAAUCACUAGGCGUAAAGCGCAGGUAGGAGGUUUGGUAAGUCUGUUGUGAAAGCUCCCGGCUUAACUGGGAGAGGCCAACGGAAACUGCCAGGCUAGAGUGUGGUAGAGGUAGCUGGAAUUCCCGGUGUAGCGGUGAAAUGCGUAGAUAUCAGGAGGAACACCGGUGGCGAAGGCGGUUCUCUGGGCAGUAACUGACGCUGAGGAGCGAAAGCGUGGGGAGCGAACAGG